rnacentral:ncRNA from 1 species
UGCGAUGAGUCGAGAGGUCUGGUAGCGACCCAAAUUGCUGCCAUUACUUUUCGAUAUGUGGGGCACGUUAACCCACCGGAUUGUGGGGUGCCUGGUUAGUGACGAAGUGGAC